rnacentral:tRNA from 1 species
UUCCCUGUGGCUCAGUUGGUAGAGCAUGGUGUUUGCAACGCCAGCAUGGUGUGUGCAACGCCAGGGUUGUGGGUUCGAAUCCCACGGGGGGAC